CUCGCGAUAGCUCAGUUGGUAGAGCGGAGGACUGUAGUGGCAAUGCAUAGCUAUCCUUAGGUCGCUGGUUCAAAUCCGGCUCGCGAGA
rnacentral:tRNA from 1 species